ACCAGACGAUGCGGUUACCGCGGCUGCUGGCACGGAGUUAGCCGGUGCUUCUUCUGUGAGUGAUGUCCUUCCUGCCGGCUAUUAACCCGCAGGCCUUCUUCCUCACUGAAAGUGCUUUACAACCCGAAGGCCUUCUUCACACACGCGGCAUGGCUGGAUCAGGGUUGCCCCCAUUGUCCAAUAUUCCCCACUGCUGCCUCCCGUAGGAGUCUGGGCCGUGUCUCAGUCCCAGUGUGGCUGAUCAUCCUCUCAGACCAGCUACGGAUCGUCGCCUUGGUGAGCCGUUACCUCACCAACCAGCUAAUCCGACAUAGGCUCAUCCGAUAGCGCGAGGCCCGAAGGUCCCCCGCUUUCCCCCGUAGGGCGUAUGCGGUAUUAGCCUGGGUUUCCCCAGGUUAUCCCCACUACCGGGCAGAUUCCUAUGCAUUACUCA
rnacentral:rRNA from 1 species